UACGUAGGUGGCAAGCGUUGUCCGGAUUUACUGGGCGUAAAGAGCGCGCAGGCGGUCGUUCAAGUCGCGUGUGAAAGCCCCCGGCUCAACUGGGGAGGGUCACGCGAUACUGAUCGACUCGAAGGCAGGAGAGGGUAGUGGAAUUCCCGGUGUAGUGGUGAAAUGCGUAGAUAUCUGGAAGAACACCAAUGGCGAAGGCAACCUCCUGGGCCUGAAUUGACACUGAGACACGAAAGCGUGGGGAUCAAACAGG
rnacentral:rRNA from 1 species